AACAAUGCCGACUGGUGACACCCAGGGGGAGAGCCUUCUCUGUGGGGGCAUCAGCCCUCUGGAAUGAGCUGCCCCUAGAGCUCCAUCUUAGCCCUGACCUACGUACUUUUCACCACGCCCUUAAGACCUUCCUGUUCCAGCAAGCCGGACUGGCCUAAUAUGAAUUUUAUUAUGGGUUUUCCAGGUAACAAAUAAUGACAAAUAAGACAUACCUGAAUGAACAGAGAUGAUCACUGUGGCUAAGACCAAAGCAUUGGAGAGUAGACUGGUCCCACAAAACCUUUCCAGAUAAGGAGAGAAGAUCUACAACUUGUGUUCCAGAUGGCUACUUCAGAUGGAGACUACAAGACCCACUGUUUGCCACAGAUUUAAAUACCAGGAGAUGGAGGGAACCAUCAUGCUCUCAACCAUCAUCAUCUACUGGAGAUUUUUGAAAAAUACGAUGAAAAAAAUAGCAGCUUCAGUCUCAUCAAUGAUGCAUCCUUCUGUGUACAGAUUAUGUUGUAAAACAUUAAAGCAGAAAUUACUGAUGUGAAAGAGAACAUUUUGGAAGAUUUACAAGAGAUGGAACAAGUUUUGCCUGGUGUAGAAAUACCAAAAUAUAAAGAAUUUGUAAGCAUAGGAAAAUAAAUGAAAAUUAUGGACUGUAAGACAGAGAAAAGAAUUAAAGUAGAAGUACAAAUGGCAAAUGAAGAAACUGCCCUGGUUAAAGAUUAUUUUAUUGGACUCACAAAAGAAGUUUUAUCCUGACAGUAGGUUUUAAUACCCUACACUCACUGUAAACAAUAAAACACAUAAUUUACAAA